rnacentral:rRNA from 1 species
GGCCUCCUACGGGGGGCAGCAGUGGGGAAUAUUGCACAAUGGGGGAAACCCUGAUGCAGCGACGCCGCGUGAAGGACGAAGUAUUUCGGUACGUAAACUUCUAUCAGCAGGGAAGAAAAUGACGGUACCUGACCAAGAAGCCCCGGCUAACUACGUGCCAGCAGUCGCGGUAAUACGUAGGGGGCAAGCGUUAUCCGGAUUUACUGGGUGUAAAGGGAGCGUAGACGGCCAGACAAGUCUGAAGUGAAAAUCCAGCGCUUAACGUUGGCAGUGCUUUGGAAACUGCCGGGCUAGAGUGCAGGAGG